GUGGUCUAGUGGCUAGGAUAUCUGGCUUCCAUCCAGAAGGCCCAGGGUUCGAUUCCUUUUUUUUUAACU